GAGUGGCGAGGGCACGAGGCUUCCCGACCCAGGGGAUCUGAUCUUCUUCCAUUGCUUCAGGCCAAAGAAUCCUCAGUGGCCCUCCACGGUGCUCUUGGGCAUUUGGUCCCUGCACAGAGCCAAGGACUCAGCAUUUCACACCACACUUAGAGGGCAGAGACUGUGCCCAGUACAGAGUAUCUACAGGAGAAACACCCAGUGUGCUCUCCCUCCGGUCCAUCCCUGGGACCACCCCUCCCCGUGGAGUUCCUCUGACCCGGGAGUUUGCAUCUCCUCUGCAGCCAGGAGGAAUCCACGGUCAAGGCUACCGUGCGCUGUCGUGAAAGCUGCACCGGUACUGGUACUGAAAUCCAGCCCGCGAUGGUCUCCAAGCUAAGGGCCCACGGAGCAGGCUUACUAAUUACACCUCUCAUUUUCUGUAUUACUGAUGCUUUGGCAUCUUGGGUCCUUACUGAUCCUGUAGGCUUCCCCUUCCCGUCAUAGUAAACAACCUGCCUGAGAGCAUGUCUUUCCCUUGCAAACCAACCACAGCCUACACCCCCAGUGACUUCCUUUAUCCAACUGUCACACAUAAGCCCAUAUUCUUCCCACCCUAAGUUACCGGAAGGUCAGAUACCAGACACCCAGACAGCCCCUGCGGCCCAGAGCUGGCCUGAGAUCAUUCAAACCAUGCAGUCCUAAACUUGUUCCAGCUGCCUACCCUGCCCUGCCCAUUCCUUGAUGCAGAAACCACAACAAAGCUCAGGCCUUGUCCUCCCCUCCCUCCUGCUUCCUGAUAGACCCCGGUGCCUGCACUGUGUGGCCCUGCAUGGGGUGGCACCGGAAUGGUGAAUAACAAACUCUUCUUCCAAAAGCAGCGGCCACAUGUCUGUCACCUCAGCAUAGCCGAUAAAAGCCAAUCCCAGGACACAGUUCUCAGAGCAAAGCGAUACCACCACAUCACCUUCCCUCAUGGAGGCUUCUAGGUGAAUAGAGAACUUAUAUGCAGAUCAUAUUAGCUACAACCAGUCCUGCUUCCCCCCGGAGAGUUCUACACGGAAGUCAUCAGAGAUCACUGAAGCUGAACUCCAAUGGCUCCUACUAUUACCAAAACAUCACGAGGACCCCAUCAAGGCAAGACACCAGAGCAAGCAUCAGCCAUUCCAUAAGGAGAAACAGAGCGGAAACUGGUACUCACCUUCAGAAGGGAUGCUGACUGAGACCUGCGAAUGCCCCUUGCUUGUCGAGCUGGGUCUCACAAGGGAAUCAGCAUCAGUCAACCAACGUGCAUGGAAUCCUUUGACCACGCCAUCCCCAUAGCCACCUUUCAGAGAGGGAGGGACCCUGCCGGCCGCAGCUUUGCAGAGCCCUGGGGUGGGGAGCCUGUGUCUACACCGCCUUGCGACGGGUUUGUCUAUUACCAUCUCCACUCUAGUCCGUGCGGAAAUCAAUACCACCUGGCCCUGCAGAGCACAAUCC